rnacentral:rRNA from 1 species
AUUGAACGCUGGCGGCAGGCCUAACACAUGCAAGUCGAACGGUAACAGGAAGCAGCUUGCUGCUUUGCUGACGAGUGGCGGACGGGUGAGUAAUGUCUGGGAAACUGCCUGAUGUAGGGGGAUAACUACUGGAAACGGUAGCUAAUACCGCAUAACGUCGCAAGACCAAAGAGGGGGACCUUCGGGCCUCUUGCCAUCGUAUGUGCCCAGAUGGGAUUAGCUAGUAGGUGGGGUAACGGCUCACCUAGGCGACGAUCCCUAGCUGGUCUGAGAGGAUGACCAGCCACACUGGAACUGAGACACGGUCCAGACUCCUACGGGAGGCAGCAGUGGGGAAUAUUGCACAAUGGGCGCAAGCCUGAUGCAGCCAUGCCGCGUGUAUGAAGAAGGCCUUCGGGUUGUAAAGUACUUUCAGCGGGGAGGAAGGGAGUAAAGUUAAUACCUUUGCUCAUUGACGUUACCCGCAGAAGAAGCACCGGCUAACUCCGUG